GCGUCAGUUUAGCCAAGUGGUUACUUCCAUGGUCGAAAACUAAUCCUGUGGUCCGCGGGCUACGGGGUUCAAACCACCGGCGAUGUCUGGCGUUUUG
ensembl:vault_RNA Vault Vault RNA